GACGAACGCUGGCGGCGUGCUUAACACAUGCAAGUCGAACGGUAAGGCCCUUCGGGGUACACGAGUGGCGAACGGGUGAGUAACACGUGGGUGAUCUGCCCUGCACUUCGGGAUAAGCCUGGGAAACUGGGUCUAAUACCGGAUAGGACUCCUGGCUUCAUGGUUGGGGGUGUAAAGCUUUUGCGGUGUGGGAUGGGCCCGCGGCCUAUCAGCUUGUUGGUGGGGUAAUGGCCUACCAAGGCGACGACGGGUAGCCGGCCUGAGAGGGUGACCGGCCACACUGGGACUGAGAUACGGCCCAGACUCCUACGGGAGGCAGCAGUGGGGAAUAUUGCACAAUGGGCGCAAGCCUGAUGCAGCGACGCCGCGUGAGGGAUGACGGCCU
rnacentral:rRNA from 1 species